CCAUUAUAUUUCUGAGUUUUAGAAUUUAAUUCUUCAUUGUCUAUCUGGAAAUAGUUGCAGAAUCCUCAGAAAAUAUCACUUAUAGAAGGGUAUUAAUAUAAGAAAUACAACUUCCUUGUGCAAAGGCUCUUAAAGUUACUAAAGGGCGUCUAAGUAUGCAAAUCGUCUUAGAAUGCAGGGUAAUGGUCAUUUGAAGACAUUUGAAUACUUUCAUCCACUGUGACUCUGAGUUAGGAAGUAGACAGUGGGGGUUAAGGAAAGAUUGAGUAUUAUCUUGAUUGGAAUUUCAAGACAGGAAAGUCUAAUCCCUUUCUUGUAAAAGACAUCUCGAUGGAUUUCAACUAACCUUGAGAAACGAAUCAGAAUACCUACUCAAACCAGAGCUAAAGAGAAAGUGUUUUUUUUUUUUUUCUUUCUAAAAACCAGGUGUUGAGCUCCUUGGUAACCCAAUACUGGGUGCGCGCGCGCAGAGUGGCCAGACCCCUCUCCACGCAGCUCUGGCUCUUUUUAAUUCGGCAAGUGCACUCACAGCAGAACUGCCACCAGUAUAACGUCUUGACGAUGGGCUCCAGGGUUUGACACUCCGCAGCGCCACCAGCUCUGUUUUCUCCCCAAGUAAGCCACUCUACCUCGCGAGCAGCAGAUCGCCCUGUGCGCGCUACAAUCCGUGGGGCGGGGAGACCUGGCGCUCACCCAGCGAGCUCGACUGGUGCUGACGUCCAUUCAGGCCUUUAAAUGUCUCUGUCCCUGCGCAGGAGGGAACGGACUUUGUAGCAGUCACUUUGCCCGAAGGGCGACGCGUCUCUGCUUUUGCAGGCGGCAGCUCGGACUCCCCUCACUCUUCCCAGCGUUGCGUUUGCCUCUGUCUUUGCCUCGAGUUCCCCGCAGCCUCUCCAGCGGGAGGCGCUUUUGGUAUUCGUACCCUGGGCAUGAACCAACAGGACUCCCCAUGCCCUGUGCUUUUUCAGUGGGUUCGAAGAUCAGAGAUUGCGAGGUGCUCUGGGUGAUCGCUCAAGGAGCAGGGAGCUUCCUCCCCCUGAUUUUGGUAGGGGGUGAUUUUUUUUUUACCCCGAAAAGCGUCCUCCCCGCUCCUGAAGCUGCAACUUGUUUUGGUUUCUUCUCAGUCCUGUGUGUGGUUACAACAUCAAAGUUUUUCUCCCUUACCCUUCCAAAAAUCUAUCCUUUUAAUCCACCCUCCUCCCCCCGCGCUAUCUCCGCCAGGCCUUCUCGCUGUGCGGUGAGUGGAUAGCGGGCGCGCAGUGUGGCAGUGGCGGCGAAGAUUGGCGCUAUCAGGAGGAGCAAAAGGGAAGGAUCUGCUGCUGGGGGCUCGCUGGGUGACCCUUUGCCAGACGAAAAGAGCUGGUCGAGAGAGAAGCGCUUGGCAGGAGCUCUCUGCGGGACCUAAGCUCCGUGGCUGCUCGGGAUCCCUACGUCCGCUGCUGCUGAAGGAGCAGAGGGGAGGACGCCAGCGGUUGCUUACUGGAGCCUGGAGGAAAAUGGAAACAUCAUUCCCUAGAAACAGUUGAAGUUGACAGACCUAGAGGUUGACAAAAGGACACGACACUAGGUUUUUUGGGAUCCUCAACAGAUUGGAUAAUGCUCAUCUGCAUUGAUGAGGGAGUUCCUGCUCACUCAGUCUAUUGAUGAAUUUGCAUUGUCAUGUUUCGAAAUACCAUUCCAAAGACCUGCAAAUAAGGGGAGGUGAAUGACAAGAAGAUGGUGCAAAAAGGAAUUUAAGAAAUAAAAAUCCAUGAAAACAGACAUAAGGGAAAGAUUCAGCAUGGUCUCUACAAUAAUCAUCACUUUAUAUUCAUCAUGGCAUUGCCAGUAUUUAUGAAUAUGGACAUGUUUGAAUGCAGUUAUUAACAGGGAAUGUAUACUAUUUGUCUUCAACUUUAAAAUUUUGACAGCUGGCAGGCGCGGUGGCUCACGCCUGUAAUCCCAGCACUUUGGGAGGCCGAGGCGGGAGGAUCACGAGGUCAGGAGAUCGAGACCAUCCUGGCUAACAUGGUGAAACCCCGUCUCUACUAAAAAUGCAAAAAAUUAGCUGGGCGUGGUGGUGGGCGCCUGUAGUCCCAGCUACUCCGGAGGCUGAGGCAGGAGAAUGGCGUGAACCCAGGAGGCGGAGCUUGCAGUGAGCCCAGACAGCGCCGCUGCACUCCCGCCUGGGCGAAAGAGCAAGACUCCAUCUCAAAAAAAAAAAAGAAAAUUUUUUUGACAGCUUAUUUUGUUUAUUACCACUUUUUAAUAUGUUUCAUAAUUAGUACUUCAAGAGCUAUAUAACUAUCCUUAAAAUUAUGUAAUGAAAUUUAUAUAUCCA
rnacentral:lncRNA from 1 species